GGUGUCUGCUCUGAAGCACCUCGCAUUGCUGUGUGCUGAGCCCUGAAGGGUUCCACGUGCUCUAGACUUUAACGUUCAGAGGCUGGAGCCCUUGAAGGCAGCUUGAUAGCAAGAUUCAAGAGUGGGCAGAGCCCUGGGCAGGAGAGUUACGUGCUCUUAGCCCAGCCCAGCUCCUGCUCAGGUGGCCCACCAGACACAGGAAACAGCAGCACAGCGCUUGAAAGCCACUGGCUGAUGAGAAAAUACAGUUGUCUCUAAGGCAAGCCAUAUGUCCAGGCCCCCAACACUGUCUCUGUAAACAUGCCCUUCAGGUAUGUGUGUGCACAGGAACAUGCAUGCGUGUUCAGGUGUGUCUAUGCACGUGGAGGCCAGAGGACUGGCUUGACCAUAAUGUUCCACAGACACUAUCCAUGUUGUUUUAUGACACAGGGUUGCUCACUGACCUGGAGCUCACCAUAAAGGCCAGGCUAGCUGACCGAGAGUCCUAAGGAUCCUCUACUACUGACUUGUCAGCACUUGGAUUGAAGCGUGCCACCACAUGGAGGGUUUUUGUUUUUGUUUUUGUUUUUGUUUUGUUUUGCUUUGUUUUGUUUUUGUUUUGUUUUGUUUUGUUUUGUUUUGUUUUGUUUUGUUUUGUUUUGGUUUUGGUUUUGGUUUUGGUUUUGGUUUGGUUUUAUUGUGGCCUCUAGGACCUGAACUCACAUCGUCUUCAUCCACUGGGCUACCCAGCCCACAAUGGUGCCAAUUCUCACGCUCAAACUCCUCCCAGUCUGGAUUACCCCAAGGAGCACAGACCCAUCCUGGGCCAUACUUGUUUUCAAUUCUAAGGCCCAACUGUCCCCUAUUUCCGCCUCCGGACUCUCCCACCUCACUCCCCAACCCCCCACUGCCCCCACUACCUGAAGCCAGCAUCUGCCACAAAGGCAGAGCCUCACAUCUCAGUCCUCGUCCAUGCUGAGGCAGCAGGCUGGUGCCCUCCACAAAAGCUGGCCCCCAUUGCUGCCUAAUACAGUGCUCACCCAGCAGCCCUGCCUGGGACCACCCACUUCCUGUUUAAGGGACUGUGCGGAGGGGUGUCUCAAGCUGCUUCUUCUGCGACCUUCAAUUCUCACCUCCUGUGACUGGGCAGCUGCCAUGCAGAGACUUAUUCCCACCCCGCAGCAUCUAAGGGCCCCAAUCCAUCCUGCAGGGCCCUGGGUUUUUUGAGACAUCAUUCUCCAUGUAGCUCUGUCUAUCCUGAAUCUUAUUCUGUAGACCAGGCUGGCCUCGAACUCAGAGAUCUGCCUGCCUCUGCCUCCCAAGUGCUGGAAUUAAAGGAGUGUGCCACCAUCACUACUAGACCACUAGGCCAGGGCCUCUGUUCUUAGACAUGGCCCCAAACUCUCUAUGGUUGUGGGGCCUCCCUCCUUGCCCAGCUGUCCCCCUCUGAAACAUGAAACAUGAACAGUACCAUCAACACCACUGUGAGGCAGAACCAAUGAUAAAGACAGGUGCAAUGUGCCUGGACCUCUAUAAACAGCAGCAAGUACUGACUCCGCUGACAAACAAUGAUGCUUGGCCUAUGGCUUUGCUCUUGGUAUCGGUGGAGCCAAAGUUUGCUCUAGAGUUCUUGGGUGCCCUCAGAAAACCAGUGACUCCAUGAUCAUCCCCAUGACUAGGGCAUUAAGAACCGGAUACAAGAUUGGACAUGGAGAUGCACACCUUUCAUCCCAGCAUUUGAGAAGCGGAGCCUGUCAGGAUCUUUGGACUCCAAAUGAGAGUCAGUGGAGGUCAUGCCAUCCAAGUGGACAUGAAGGUCAAGCAAAGGAGAGGGCCACAGCCAGCACAAACAAGCUAUCUGAAAGGGUGUGUUUCCUCCAAGCCCUGGAUCCAAGAACCGACACCCCCACCGCUGAAAAGCAUCCUUCCCAUUGCUGCUGGGGAAAUGACCCUGCCGGACAAGCUGUAUUUGAUAAAGGGAUUUUAACCUACUGGACACUUGACAACACUGCGAGUUUCCUACUGAGGCUGGAGCCAUGGAUGUUGGGAGCCAGUGGGCCCUGGUGAGGUCCUGACCCACGCUCACGCAGCACUUCCGCUCUGAGGUGCCUGAGAGAAUGUGGGACAGUCACUCCUCUGUGCGGAGCCGAGGCUUAUGUCUCCAGGCACAAUGCUGCCAGCCAGAUGGAUGGUCCUCAUUCUGAAAGCUAUGAGAAGACAGCCAAAGCGCACUCUGACCAUUUCCAGCCACUACCCAGCAGCACAGAGUGCUCUGCACCACGAGCAGUCUGCAGGCUGAACUCCAGGAGGGUCCUCGGGACAUCCAGAGAACAAAUGGCUACCUCACGAUAGCUGCUUCUUACCCAAGCCAAGUGGAGUCUGCAAGUCUCAUGUAAGCGGAGACCUUGCAGGCAGCAGGCCUCUAUCAUCGACAUAUCAUCCACGUGGCUUGAAGCUCUCGGGGGCAGCAGCCAGGAAGAGGGAGCCACUGAAGCCUGUAUGGCACCAGCUAGCUCCCUCAAGCUGCCAGCAUAAGGCGCCAUGCCACUACAUGCCUGUGACCAUGUCUACUCUCCCAUGUGGUGCUCCCCCACUUCAAUUCCUAUUUACAUGAACUUGUUAUAGAUUAUCUCAAGUAUCAAGAGGCUGGGUCUCUUUCUGUGAUGAAUACCAAGUCUACCAAAUAGAAC